GUUCUGACUAACCUCAUACGUAAUAUAUAGAUAACAGAUUGUGCAGGAAGCUCUGUCUGGUAAUAAAGUGCCAGUCUGUGCCAGGUACAGACAGAUCUUCCUUAGCUAAUUCAGCCAAUAAGAAGUGUUAUCGUUGUUUCACUGUAAGGAUGAGAAGGAGGGGGCUCCCUUCUUCUCUCUCUCUUUUGCCUUUUCUCUCACCUUGUAAGCAUCACUAAAAUGUAUUACUGCAUUUUGGAUUAAAUGAUCUUCACUUUCAAACACCUGGAUUUCGAUUGAUUACAAGGAAAGAAAUAACAUAACAUUUUGGUCCUCCGAGCGAAAAUCAAUGGAUGGAGCCCUUGGGUUGACACCGAUACCGACAGAAUCCAGUGAGUAUUGGACCUCAAAAGCUCACUGAGAAACCCCACUCACGUUCGUAUUAAACAGGGACUGCUUGGCGCCGGAUUUGACCCAAAUCCACCAUCUGGUUCUGAACCUGAAUUGACUUAGUCUUCUGGUGUUUGAGAGGGGAAAACGACAUAGAUCACAUGACCAGUGAGGAUGGAGGACCGGACUCACAUGACUGAGAAGAUACUAAACCUCACCCUGGAGAUCAUCUACCUGCUGACCGGAGAGAGAUUUCCUCUUGUGAAGUCAG